rnacentral:lncRNA from 1 species
GCUCUGUCAGCAGUGAGACCACCCCAACCCGACAUUCCUGCUGAUCUACUUGACCCUGGGCCCCUGUGUGUUCCAUGGGGGAAAUGGAACAGGGAGAGUCCACGCUUUCUCUGGUUUCAGAUACUUGCUUAUACCAUUGCAGGACAUGACUGAAAGCUUGACUCUUUUGUUUUGGGCUUGUUGCCUUAAUUGACUAUUGUGACACCUGGCAGCUCAGCGCUCCCUCUCCCAGUUCAACUGAGCUCCUGACAGAGGGACUCCACCUUCAACUUGCCAGGGACAGGCACUCAAAGGACGGGCUUCAUUUCUGUUGAAGGCUCUGGCUUCUCCUAAUAUGUUUCUAAUUCAUUUCUAGAUUCAGAUCUCUCUCUACCUCUCCAUAUCACACAUUCACAAACAAUAACUGCCUGAGGACCAGGAGAAGCACAGGGCCUGCCUCGUUAUUCCUCCCCUGCAUGCUGACUCUUCCACUGGGGCUGGGCAGAGUCAGCACAUGCAGGAGGGGAAUCAUGAGCCAGGCCCUGGCCAGAUCCAGAUUUCUAGACAUGAGAACUACCCAAACCCCAGAGACCCAGUUCUUCCAUCUACUUUACUGAGGAGGAACCAGAGAGUCUGAAAAGUAAGUGACUUGGCCAAGGUCACCCAACUGGAACCCAGGGCCUAACCUUUGGGUUCAAACUCUGAUCAUGACCAGACUGCCUCCUUGAAUCUUCUUUCUACUUUCCCGGUACAGUUUCUGUGCAGAGCUGAGUCCUUGGGUGCCCAGGACUACACUAAGCCCUCUCAAGUCAGUACUUUCUAGGAGGCUGUAGCCUAACUGGAGAGAGAGGUGAGACCAGGGGUUCUCAGACUUGAGCAGAUGUUAGAAUCAGCUGGUGGGCUAGUUAAAACACAGAUCUGCUGGCCCCACCCCAGGUUGCUGAUUCAGUAGGCCUGGGAUGGGGUCUGAGAAUUUGUACUUCUAACAAGUUUCCAAGUAUGGCUGAUAAGAACCACUGGACUUAACCAUAAACAACCAAAAGUAACAGAGGCAGUGAAUGGAAACCGAGCAAAGGCAGGUAGAGAAAGGAGAGAAAUGAGGGUGACAUUGUUUCUAAGGGCAGGAAAUGAACUCCAGGGGCUGGUCCUUGGGAGGUCCUUCUCUUCCCUCUACCUUCAUCUACCCUGACUUCGGGUGUAUCUAGAAGUUUCACAGUAGCAUAUAAAUUCCCCCUCUCUGCUGGAGGGCUCUGGCCAACAGGUGAAGCCAAAACCAUCACCUGUAGGAGGUUACUUAGAGCUGGCUCCUGUCCCAACACCCUCCUCUCGGCUUCCCCGUUCACAUCGCUGCAGCCGGCACAGCUGCCUGCCUCCCAUGGAGCCUGGGGGCACCUGUCCUAAAGGCUCAAGGAUGAAGAGUCGCGGAGGGUGGUUGUGGCCAUCUCACCCACCUCUCCCUUGAUUCCUCCAUGUACUCACACAAGCCCUGGAAGGCCAAGGACACUGACACUCAGAAAGCUAAGGGAGUGGGUACAUUACAAAAGGAUUGGGAGAGGGGGAGUGGUAAAAACUCCACAGCUCACAUUCAUUGACUCAGCUCAUCUUUCAAGGCCCCAGUUCUCCUGAGUCAUCAGUGAGCAUGGCCUUGCUUUCAUAGUCACUAAGGCUGAAUGUGGGUCAUUGAGAUCUAAACUGGUGUUUAAAUGUAACCGCACAGAGGUGAGUCAGACACACACAAGGAGAAAAAGAGCAAAAGAGAGAGAGAAGAAAGAAGGAGACUUAGCUCUCUCUUAAGUGGGGGUGAAAAUCCAGGAGCGAAUCUGAAAUGAUCCACCUCUCCAAAUCCGUCCACUGUUUAAUUGGCUCCAUGUAGCUAUAGGGAAAUUGAGGCAUAACUGCUGUGUCCACUAGCCCAAAGCUGUUCCAGGGACAGCAGCAACCUCAGGAGGAGGCCAGAGAUUGGCCAAUGGAAAGGCAGAAAGCAGGGACUCUCCACCCAGGUGGAGGCACCACAGGGCCCGUGGAGGGAAUGGACAGCUGGCAUUACGGUCCCCCUACCUUUUCCCAAGACUCUUCCAGCUGACCUACUAAGGCUGCCCCUUGACCUUGAGUACAAAUGGCACUCAUGCCCAAACAGCCGCUUGACCAGAGCCAACCGACAACCUCCUGUGAGUUUCUCAGCCCCAGGCUGGAUCUGCAGUACCAUUGUGUCUUGAAUCCAGCUUGGCCAUAAGGAAAUGGGGCGAGACUUUGUCAUGUAUGUCGCUGAAGUUCAGCUAUGCAAAAAUGUUCACCUAUCCUUGAUCAACCAGUCCAGGAACCAUCAAAGAAGAAAAUGAGAUUCGACUUAGAAGACCUGUUCUUUAUAAACCCCUGCACAGCCCUAAUGAUCAACACCACUUCCAGUGCUCAUAAAUUACUGCUUCAAUA